rnacentral:misc_RNA from 1 species
UCCGAGUUGACCCCGGCAGUCUCCUAUGAGUCCCCACCAUCACGUGCUGGCAACAUAGAACGAGGGUUGCGCUCGUUGCGGGACUUAACCCAACAUCUCACGACACGAGCUGACGACAACCAUGCACCACCUGUAAACCGACCGCAAGCGGGGCACCUGUCUCCAGGCGUUACCGGUUCAUGUCAAGCCUUGGUAAGGUUCUUCGCGUUGCAUCGAAUUAAUCCGCAUGCUCCGCCGCUUGUGCGGGCCCCCGUCAAUUCCUUUGAGUUUCGGUCUUGCGACCGUACUCCCCAGGCGGAGUGUUUCACGCGUUAGCUGGGCCCCUGAUCCACGUAGACCAAGGGCGAACACUCAUCGUUUACGGCAUGGACUAC